GCUGAUAUAGCUCAGUUGGUAGAGCGCAAUCUCUUUUGCAAGGGUGAGGUCGGCAGUUCGAAUUCCGCCUAUCAGCACCA
rnacentral:tRNA from 1 species